ACUCAAAUGAAUAGACGGGGGCCCGCACAAGCGGUGGAGCAUGUGGUUCAAUUCGACGCAACGCGAAGAACCUUACCCAGGCUUGAACAGCGAGUGACAAGCUCCGAAAGGAGUCUUCCGCAAGGACACUCGUAGAGGUGCUGCAUGGCUGUCGUCAGCUCGUGUCGUGAGAUGUUGGGUUAAGUCCCGCAACGAGCGCAACCCUUGUUUGCUGUUGCCAUCAGGUAAAGCUGGGCACUCUGCAAAGACUGCCGGUGAUAAACCGGAGGAAGGUGGGGAUGACGUCAAGUCAGCAUGGCCUUUAUGUCUGGGGCUACACACGUGCUACAAUGGCAGAUACAAACCGUCGCGAGACCGUAAGGUGGAGCUAAUCGGAGAAAGUCUGUCUCAGUUCGGAUAGCAGGCUGCAACUCGCCUGCUUGAAGUUGGAAUCGCUAGUAAUCGCGGAUCAGCACGCCGCGGUGAAUACGUUCCCGGGCCUUGUACACACCGCCCGU
rnacentral:rRNA from 1 species